ACCUUCACACUAUUUUAUCUCCUUCUUUUAGGCUUGAUAGCAUGAGCUAAGAGCAAUUGAUUUCACAAAGCAAUUGAAAGGAUAAAGAGAAACACAAAUUAUGGAAAAUGUACCAGGCACAGGUGUAGGACUACAUCUGCCUGAAUCACGUCUCCUGCAUGGUUCCAAGUUACUGGGAAUCAAAAGAGAAACUCACAUGGAAUUUGAAAGGCAGAAGUGAAGUAGAGAUAUUUUGGAAGAUUGAGAGAGACAAAGACAGUGAUGGACAGACCACAAAGGUGUUUGCAAGAAGCUACUACCAACUAGAGGUAGUACUGAAAGGAACAGCAUACAACUUCUUCAUGCUUUAGAUUGAAAAAAGUGAGUCUUCUCCUAGGUCUGAACUUAGUCAGAAUGCCUUUAAUUGGAAUCUGAGGCCCAACUUUCAAAUGGUCAUCUAACGUUUGUCUAUUUGCCUUGCUCUGUUGGAUUAUGUCUUGUGCAUAUAUCCCCUCAGGAAACUGAUGGAGUUUUGUCUUACUAUCUGACUUAAAAUAGCCAACCUCUCUUUCUCUAUAUAUCCUUGUCUUACUAUGCUUCCUU